rnacentral:rRNA from 1 species
UACGUAGGGUGCAAGCGUUAAUCGGAAUUACUGGGCGUAAAGCGUGCGCAGGCGGUUUUGUAAGACUGUCGUGAAAUCCCCGGGCUCAACCUGGGAAUGGCGAUGGUGACUGCAAGGCUAGAGUUUGGCAGAGGGGGGUAGAAUUCCACGUGUAGCAGUGAAAUGCGUAGAGAUGUGGAGGAAUACCGAUGGCGAAGGCAGCCCCCUGGGUCGAUACUGACGCUCAUGCACGAAAGCGUGGGGAGCAAACAGG